GUUUCUUCAAUGGAGGCUGCUUUUUGUGAGUGAGUGUUCUGUAGGUAGAGAUCCUUUCACCAGUUGGGGUCAUUGCUGUGUUUCCUUUGCUGUGAGGAUUUAAAAGGGCUUUCCUAUCACUGACAAAUAUCAAAGCAGCUGCAGAAUGGAUCAGUAUUUAAAUGGGUUGCAUUAUGUGAACAGUGAAUGCAAAGAAUGCACAACUUUUGAGACGCCAUCACAUAUGUUCUGAGGCUGAUGAACCAAAGAGAUCUGGGAGCCACAUGUGACCAGCAGAAUGAGCACCAGCCGACAGUGCAGUUUCAGUGGGAGAUGACUUUUGGGAAAGUUCCCACAGAAAUCCCAUUGUAGCAUUUCUGUUCUUACUGGGCCUGAUUUCAUUUAUUCUGAGGCUUCCUUACACAUUUCUGGCAUUGCAUUGAGACCUUAAUGUAGGCAUAACGCACACUUGCAAUCUCAUUAAUGCUCUCUGGCAUUGCCAGAAGGGUGUGAAAGGGCUGCUCGUGUCAAGGGGAAUCUGGCCCAUCGUGUUUAUUCAUGCAGUAGCUUCUGCUGAGUCACAGAGUCUGCCUCACAGCCAGGAAAAGGAAGGGCUUGUUUUCAUUAGAGGACAUCAAUACUAUCUGGUGGUUGCAGAGCACCGGUGCGCUGGGUGUGCUGAGGGCUUUCUGGAACUCAAAGCAGCAGUACUUUAGUGUGAUGAGUGACGCAGCUGGAAAGCUGAUAUUUUCAAUCAUACAAUACAGUGGUCUAUCCUGAGGACUUAAUCUCCCAAGUCUGGAGUGUGGGGAUUGAUUUCUCUUCUGGAAGAACAGAAGCAGAAGACCUCAGGAGGCUGUGACAACCAUGCAGUGGACAGGUCUUCAGCCAGCUUGCUUAUGAAAUGUGGGCAGUGCCUUCUCAGAGGGCAGAUGUGCAGCACUGGUCCCUCUGAACUUCUUGCCUCUUUGCAGAGGGGAAUAAGAGUAGAUUUGGAAAAUAGAAAUAAAAGAAAAUUUCCCCUAAAUCAGUUUUUUGAUAGGUGAAGUUGCAUGGUUUAUAACAGAUUUUUAGGGGAAGAUGGUGUGGGGAUGGAGUUAAUGGGAGGUACUGAAAAGUAAAAGAUUGUUCUGAAAGUAGUGGCAAAAGGUCGGGCUGUAGAUGGGUUCCUGCUUGAGGAAAUGGGAACCUGGAGUUGCUGCCUUCCAGCUACCUGGGAGGAAGAGGUACAAAGAACAAGCAAGGGUAACUUUCAGGCCUUCUGAUGCUAAGAGGGCCUUAAUGUUUACGGGAGUGAGGCUCGUGAAAUCUAGAGUUGUAAGUCCUACCUCUGAGGGAAUUGUCCUGACCUCUGAUAGAGGAAAAAAGUAGCUGAUCUUACUGUUGCUUUCUCAAUUGUUAUCUGUGUUUUUUUAUCCUUGAGGCUUGUAAUUUGGGGAAGGCUGCAAGCCAAGUGUUUUAGAAGCAGUCAAUCAAACUUGUGAAUCCUGCAUGCCUGUUUGUAGGACACAGUGGGGUUAUAUUUUUCUGCCUCUGAGCAGUUCCUUGCUUACAUCACGCUGUGCAGUGCCCACUAGCACCAUGUUCUUGGGCACUGUCCUGUCGACUGCUAGGUACUGCUACAGGCUUCCCACCAGCAUGCCUUGUGAAAGACCUCUCAGACUGAAAAAGGCUUUGAGACCAAUUGCAAUAGUGCUCUGUCCACUUUCACUUAUAAGCAGGAUGUAGCUGCGGCUGCUGCAUACCUUCUAUGGUUUUGUAGGUUUGUCUUUGCUUCGUUCACUUCUACUCUCAUCUCUCACAGAUGAAGUAUUUCAUACUGGAAAAAAAUGUUUUGUGCCCAGUGAAGUAGCUUUCUUUUCACCAUUAGAGAAGAAAUGAACACUGUAGUAUGGAUGCAGACUGAAUUCUACCUACCCUGUUGUUCCCUCUUUGUUGUCAACCUGAGCAAAUCUUUCUUUGCCAUAGUCUAACUCCAGCCACAAUGUCAAUGUGUAAGGAACAGAUCACGAAACCUCUUGCUGUAGUGAGUGAGGCUUUUAGAAUACAUACCCAAGUAAUUUUCCUUACUAGGAACUGAUCUCUCAUGUUUAGUGUGUGAUUUAAACAAUAACAUGUCCUGUUAUUACCAUAAGAUAAUAUUAAGUAUUUUAGAGCAUGACAGGCCUGUUGGUGAGUGUUAUCUAAUAACUGAUAGAGGGUUUUUUAGUCAUUUGUGGUGAUGUGGUCUUCCUCUUUGCAGGAUUAUCAGUCUUUUAAGUGGGAUCUAACAACUUUACUCAGAAGAGUGGGAUACUACAUUCAGCCAAGAAUACUUUGAAAUGAUAUUUAACCUAAGGCUUUCACUUAAUAGAACAUGAAGGGAUAAUAUUCUUUCUCUUCUUCAAACUCCUAUGCACAUGAUUACUGCAUUAUUUAUCCAUAGCUAAAUACUGUCUAAAGCUUUAUAUUUAUUCAUCUCUAUUGCAGUUCAGCAGCGAGAGAUUUUUAGAUUUAUGUGCUUAUCUGCUUAGUGUUAACUUCUCUAUUUCAUUUAUCUGUUUUCAUUCAUCUGUAUUUUUGCAGACAUAAUUCUAAAGAUUCUUCUUGUUGUGCUUAAUAAACAUCUAGUAGUUCAUUGAAGAGUAUGGAAGAAAAGGUGAAGUUAAACUAAGUGGCAUACUUGUGAGCAAUACUCUUGAUUUCACAUGAAUGUUUGAGGAUUGUUUUCCUAAAAGGAUUCCUAAGAGCAUAUUAAGGUUUUUUUUUUUUUUCUGUGCUCCUGGGAAUGUGAGAAAGCCCUAUUGUCACCAGUUCUUUUCAUACUGAAAUAUUGUACAAACAUGGCAGAGAUAUCUCUAAACUGGAUUAAGCUCCAGAAGCACUGGAGAAAUAGCUUGGGAUAUGAAACUGGAAUGAAACAUUCUAAGAUGUAAAUGUGGGAAGGAAUGAAUUAGAGACAAAAGAAAACCUUUUGAAUACCUAUGUUUCAUGGGCGAUGUGCUCUUCCCAACUGACCAGUUCAGUAUAAGCUUACAGCUGACCUAACUCUUCAAGCUUACUUUCAUUAUUUUUCUACUAACUGGAGGAAUUCCAUUUUGUGAGGUAGGCUACUGUGUCAGGUGAACUGGCCACUAUGAGUGGGGGGCUCUGUUCAAUCAGCUGAGAAUGAAUGUGCAUAUGAAUGUUCAGAGGCCUGUGAAUCUGAAAGAAACUAAGCUGCCACCCAACAUGUAGAGAUUACAGGACUUGACAAGUGCCCACUCAAAUCAUGUUAACUUUCUUGAGUAUUGGCAAUGCGUUUGAAGAAUACAAGGCUCAAGCUACUGCAUAGUUGGUUAUCUUCUUGUUGGUUCAUUUUGGGGCUGAAGAGUUUCUGUUAACGUUCCAACAUCAAGCCACUCUGCAGUCACAAAUCAUACUGCUUCCACUCAAAAAGAUGGUUGAUUAUAUAUUUAAUCUCAGAUUUUUGUUUCUGUAGCUUUGUUCUGCUUUCUGGGUCUUUGAAAAAAAAGCUUCUGUUUGAAAGAGUCCCAAGGUUAAACUCUGUUAUUAGCCCCCAGAUACGCAGUUUCAUGAAUGGGCUAUUGAGCUGCUUAAUAACAUCUGUAUCUGUUGGUUCAUACAAGAUUUUUGUUUUUAAUGUUUGUUCAUUAUGAGGUAAUAAAU